rnacentral:lncRNA from 1 species
UUGUUGAAUUUAGGGUUGAUGGUGACUAGAUAAGGAAGAUGAAGCUGGAGGGAUUCCAGGGAUAAGAGGGACCGGAGGGAGCGGAAUAGGGAGAGAAGGUGGCGGCAUAGGUAGCGAAGGCGGAUUUACGACUGGAACAGGAGGAAGAACCGGAAGAGGUGGAAGAGUUGGAAUUGUUGGAACCGGUGGGAGAGUUGGUGUUGCCGGGGGAGAAGGAAGUAGCGGAAUCGGUGGUAGAGUUGGUGUUGCUGGAGGAGAGGGAAGUAGGGGAAUUGGAGGGAGAGUUGGGGGAGACGGGAUCAACGGGUUUGGAGGAAGAGUUGGGGUUGGGAUAGAAGGGAUCAGAGGGUUUGGAGGGAUGACGGAUGGCGGGUUUAGCGGGUUUGGAGGAAGGAAGAAGAAAUCGGGUUUUAGCACUUCGGUUUUCUUGUCUUCCAAGGAACCAUAUUUCUUGCUAUGCAAGGAAGCUGAUUUCCGUGAUCCUGAUGUUCCUGGAGGAAGAAGAGGAGGAAUUGUAGGAAGAGGCAAGUCCGGAAGCGGAGGUACGAUUGGGAGAUUUGGGAUAGCGGAAGGAGUAGGCGGAUCUUGGAUCGGUGGAGGGAAUGAGGGAUCCGGUAAAAGAGGCUUGGUGGUUUGGCCGAGGUUGACUUGUUUUUGGCUACAAAUCUCUGGUUGGUUUUCGGGUUUGAAAGUGAAGAAUCCUGCGGAGAAGACCCUAGUGU